rnacentral:rRNA from 1 species
GACGAACGCUGGCGGCGUGCCUAAUACAUGCAAGUUGAGCGCUGAAGGUUGGUACUUGUACCAACUGGAUGAGCAGCGAACGGGUGAGUAACGCGUGGGGAAUCUGCCUUUGAGCGGGGGACAACAUUUGGAAACGAAUGCUAAUACCGCAUAAAAACUUUAAACACAAGUUUUAAGUUUGAAAGAUGCAAUUGCAUCACUCAAAGAUGAUCCCGCGUUGUAUUAGCUAGUUGGUGAGGUAAAGGCUCACCAAGGCGAUGAUACAUAGCCGACCUGAGAGGGUGAACGGCCACAUUGGGACUGAGACACGGCCCAAACUCCCACGGGAGGCAGCAGUAGGGAAUCUUCGGCAAUGGACGAAAGUCUGACCGAGCAACGCCGCGUGAGUGAAGAAGGGUUUCGGAUCGUAAAACUCUGUUGGUAGAGAAGAACGUUGGUGAGAGUGGAAAGCUCAUCAAGUGACGGUAACUACCCAGAAAGGGACGGCUAACUACGUG